rnacentral:rRNA from 1 species
GUGGGGAAUAUUGGACAAUGGGCGAAAGCCUGAUCCAGCCAUGCCGCGUGUGUGAAGAAGGUCUUCGGAUUGUAAAGCACUUUAAGUUGGGAGGAAGGGCAGUAAGUUAAUACCUUGCUGUUUUGACGUUACCGACAGAAUAAGCACCGGCUAACUUCGUGCCAGCAGCCGCGGUAAUACGAAGGGUGCAAGCGUUAAUCGGAAUUACUGGGCGUAAAGCGCGCGUAGAUGGUUUUGUAAGUUGGAGGUGAAAUCCCCGGGCUCAACCUGGGAACUGCCUCCAAAACUGCAUGACUAGAGUACGGUAGAGGGUAGUGGAAUUUCCUGUGUAGCGGUGAAAUGCGUAGAUAUAGGAAGGAACACCAGUGGCGAAGGCGACUACCUGGACUGAUACUGACACUGAGGUGCGAAAGCGUGGGGAGCAAACAGGAUUAGAUACCCCUGUAGUCC